AAUCCUGUAGCUUAGUGGUUAAAGCACUUGCCUCGGAAACUAGAGGACCUGGGUUUGAUUCCCGGCAGGAUGA